rnacentral:rRNA from 1 species
CCUACGGGUGGCAGCAGUGAGGAAUAUUGGUCAAUGGGCGGAAGCCUGAACCAGCCAAGUAGCGUGCAGGAUGAAGGCCCUACGGGUCGUCAACCGCUUUUACACGGGGAUAACACCCUCCACGUGUGCAGGUCUGCAGGUACCGUGCGAAUAAGGGCCGGCUAAUUCCGUGCCAGCAGCCGCGGUAAUACGGAGGGCCCGAGCGUUAUCCGGAUUCAUUGGGAUUAAAGGGAGCGUAGGCGGGCGUUAAAGUCAGCGGUAAAAUCGCGCGGCUCAACCGCACCCUGCAGUUGAAACUGGAAGCCUUGAGUUCACAAGAGGCAGGCGGAAUUCGUGGUGUAGCGGUGAAAUGCUUAGAUAUCACGAGGAACCCCGAUUGCGAAGGCAGCCUGCCGGGGUGCGACUGACGCUGAGGCUCGAAGGUGCGGGUAUCAAACAGGAUUAGAUACCCUUGUAGUC